rnacentral:rRNA from 1 species
UACAGGGGGGUGCAAGCGUUUAAUCGGAAUUACUGGGCGUAAAGCGUGCGUAGACGGUUAUGUAAGUCAGGUGUGAAAGCCCCGGGCUCAACCUGGGAAUUGCAUUUGAGACUGCAUAGCUAGGGUGCGGAAGAGGGAAGCGGAAUUUCCGGUGUAGCGGUGAAAUUCGUAGAUAUUCGCAAGAACACCAGUGGCGAAGGCGGCUUACUGGUCCGGUUCUGACGCUGAGGCGCGAAAGCGUGGGGAGCAAACAGG